ACACAUGCAAGUCGAGGGGUAGAAAGAGCUUGCUUUUUUGAGACCGGCGCACGGGUGAGUAACGCGUAUGCAACCUACCUUAUACAGGGGAAUAGCCCGAAGAAAUUCGGAUUAAUGCUCCAUGGUUUAUCGAUAUGGCAUCGUAUUGAUAAUAAAGAUUUAUCGGUAUAAGAUGGGCAUGCGUAUCAUUAGCUAGUUGGUGUGGUAACGGCAUACCAAGGCAACGAUGAUUAGGGGUCCUGAGAGGGAGAUCCCCCACACUGGUACUGAGACACGGACCAGACUCCUACGGGAGGCAGCAGUGAGGAAUAUUGGUCAAUGGAGGCAACUCUGAACCAGCCAUGCCGCGUGCAGGAUGACGGUCCUAUGGAUUGUAAACUGCUUUUGUACAGGAAGAAACCUCCCUACGAGUAGGGACUUGACGGUACUGUAAGAAUAAGGAUCGGCUAACUCCGUGCCAGCAGCCGCGGUAAUACGGAGGAUCCGAGCGUUAUCCGGAAUUAUUGGGUUUAAAGGGUUCGUAGGCGGCUUUGUAAGUCAGUGGUGAAAUUUCCUAGCUUAACUAGGACACUGCCAUUGAUACUGCAGAGCUUGAAUAGUAUGGAAGUAACUAGAAUAUGUAGUGUAGCGGUGAAAUGCUUAGAUAUUACAUGGAAUACCAAUUGCGAAGGCAGGUUACUACGUAUUUAUUGACGCUGAUGAACGAAAGCGUGGGGAGCGAACAGGAUUAGAUACCCUGGUAGUCCACGCCGUAAACGAUGGAUACUAGCUGUUCGGUUUUCGGACUGAGUGGCUAAGCGAAAGUGAUAAGUAUCCCACCUGGGGAGUACGUUCGCAAGAAUGAAACUCAAAGGAAUUGACGGGGGCCCGCACAAGCGGUGGAGCAUGUGGUUUAAUUCGAUGAUACGCGAGGAACCUUACCAGGGCUUAAAUGUAGAUUGACAGAUUUGGAAACAGAUUUUUCUUCGGACAAUUUACAAGGUGCUGCAUGGUUGUCGUCAGCUCGUGCCGUGAGGUGUCAGGUUAAGUCCUAUAACGAGCGCAACCCCUAUUGUUAGUUACCAGCGCGUAGUGGCGGGGACUCUAGCAAGACUGCCGGUGCAAACCGUGAGGAAGGUGGGGAUGACGUCAAAUCAUCCGGGCCCUUACGUCCUGGGCUACCACUGGCUAAAUGG
rnacentral:rRNA from 1 species